UACGGAGGAGGCAAGCGUUAUCCGGAAUUAUUGGGCGUAAAGCGUCCGCAGGUGGCACCUCAAGUCUGCUGUCAAAGACCGGGGCUUAACCCCAGAAAGGCAGUGGAAACUGAAGUGCUAGAGUGCAGUAGGGGUAGAGGGAAUUCCCGGUGUAGCGGUGAAAUGCGUAGAGAUCGGGAAGAACAUCGGUGGCGAAAGCGCUCUGCUGGACUGCAACUGACACUGAGGGACGAAAGCUAGGGGAGCGAAUGGG
rnacentral:rRNA from 1 species